rnacentral:antisense_RNA from 1 species
AGCAGAUGACCUGUACUUCUCUGCUCUCUCCCCUACUGCAAAGAGGCAGCGAGUGCAGCAUUAGUAAGCCUGACUCAGGGGAAGUCAGGAGCACGUCUUUGAAUUCCUCGCAGACGAUGUAUCCAUCAGUCCUGUGGGGACACAACGCGAUGUCAACCCUCGAACCUGCUGCCUGCUCUGCCUCUCCUCCCUCCCCAGUUUGCGGAAGACAGUGGGCCACAUCUGAGCACUAGGGGGUCCUGAAGGAUGUCGCGGGUCAGCCAGUGUCCCACACCCUCCGUGCAGAAGGCAGGCCUGUGGAAACUGGCACUGCCUCUUCCUCCCCAGAUUCUGCCGAAGAAAGCUGGGGUGAAAGCCCUUAUCCAGCCUCACCCAUCAUGGAACAGAGCUCACUAACCAGGCAGCUGCCGGGGAAAGAUGCUGACUGUUUUUUUGCUCACUAGCCUGUGAGUCCCUAAACCUGGGAAGAACGUUUUAAUCCAGCAUUACGAUGCCGGUUUCAUUGGCUCCGUUCCCUCUGGAGGGAAGCCAGAAUUGGUAAAGCACUGACUUUGCAAAUCCAGUGUAACAUCCUGAAAAUUGGAGCCACCAGGCCUCAACUCCCAGCAGCCCCAUGCCAGCUUUCCAUCCCCAUCUCUGGAGCCACCCCUCCCCAUCCCUGUG